AAUUCAUAGCAAAAAAAGUUGUCACAGACUUCCUUUUAACGAUCCAGAAAGGAUAAAGUUGUGGCUGGAAUUUCUGGGGUUGGAUGUGAGCACACCUGUUGAGAAUCUGCAGAAAAGUGAUCACCGUGUCUCUGUGGUCUGCAUUUUACUGAACUUCGCUGGAGGUCGAAAGAAAUCACCCAAAAAGCUCUUUCGCCUGAGAAAUACAGCGGUUCCCACAUUACCUCCUGGGACGACAGAGUUGGAAGAACUUGGGGGACUUUCCUCCAUUUCAGAUGAAAGAUGGCAGGACUCUAACUCAUCUCCCCCUCUUCAAUGGUAUCAGCCGUGGUGUUGACAGAGGUCAAAGUCCAUGGUGAAAUAUAAGACAUGUCCUGCACGACAGAGACAGUGGGACUCCCUGUCACAGUGGAAUUUCCACAUUGGUCAGUCAUUUCACACAAAACAAGGACACCAUGGAUCCUCACCUGCCAGGGAUUACUGCUGCCAGCUUUCCUUCCUUUCUUUAGCCAACCUGGUGGCUGGUGACUCAUACAGUUAUUAGUAGUAUGACAUUUUGUCAUAUAUAAUAUACCGGUAACUUUUCACAAAAAGUGUCCACUAUAAUGAAAACAAGUACACAAAUUUGCACAAACAUUCAGCAGUUACUCCCACCAUGCAGGAAACACAUACACACAUGGCAACAGACAGACACAUACACAAACACAAACAGCAGCAACAGAGGUCUUAGUCAUCCCUGACAUACAAAUCCCUGUCUUAAAUUUUCAUUAAAAGGAAAAUGCUCAGUCUGAAAGGGCUACAUCGGCUGCCCAGGGCCAAACACACACACACACACAUACAGUGGCCGUCCUACAUACUGUAUCAUGAGUCACCAUCUCCAGAGCUCCAUGUGUUUGGGCUUACUGGUGUGUGUGUACUGUAAGUCUGUGUGUGUGUGUGUGUGUGUGUGUUUCCCUGGGAGUAAUUUGGAGGAGGUCAGCAGAAGGGGAGAGUAGAGGAGAGAUAGAGAUAGAGUCAAAGAGGGAGAAAUAGAAGCAGGGAGAUAUGGGAGAGCAGAUGAAGGUGGAGAGGACCAGAUGUGGAGGAUGGAGAUGAGCACAGCUCUGAGGUAUGGACACUGUGUAUGGAAAGAAAGAUGCCAUGAGAGAGAUACUGUAUGAAGACAUAAUAAUAUGUAAUAACACCACUAUCUUCUCCUUACUGGUGGUUUCCAUUGUAUUUAAAUUACACAGAAUGACACCUUUUGCUUGUGAAUAAUUGUUCCAGCAUGUGAGUUAGUGUAUCUGUUUCAUUCCAGUUUGAAUGGUGUAUAAAUUAUGUGUCCGAAUGCAUCACUGUGAUGGGUGAAUAAAGCGUCUGCUCUCUGUGUUAGUGUUCACAGGGUCAGAAUGACUCUCUCGAGGCCAGCUGGAGUCAAUGCUUAAGGAGGAGAUGAAAAGGGACGAAGAGAAAGAGAGAGAGAGAGAGAGAGAUAACGCACUCUUUUCUUAAAGAAGGAGCAGAACACAAGGUCUGGCCCUGUUGAAGAUGGGCGACCAAAGGUAGCAUCCCAUUCCCUCUCUCUCUCUCUCUCUGUGUCUCUCUCUCUCUCUCACACACACUCAGAGAGCAGCUAACCUGCGGUGGGAAAGUUCCGGAAACAGAGGUCUCCUUUCAGUGGCGGAGUCCGAUAAGGUGUCUGCUCCACGGAGGUCCCUCAUCAGACUGUGUACCAUGACGUGCAGAGAGAACAAUGUUCAUCUCACCAACAAAAGUUGACCUUGGAGGUUUCAUGACAAGCACUCACAGCAAUGUUCUUCUCAACAAAGCAAGUUGGCGUUUGGAAGUUUGGUUGGACUUUUUUGGUCAGGAAGGUGACACACCAGACCGCCACAGAGAGCAUUAUUAAACAGAACAUUGAUAAACGGAGAAAAAACGUCACAGAUGAUUCACCCAAGUUAUUUUUGUAUUGCCAAAAGGCAGCUCUUCAUUUUUUUCUCAUUGACUGUAGUGCUGCAACUGUUUCAGCUACCAUGCAGAGGAUGUGACAUUUCCCUUUUUCCAGAAAGAUCCAGAGCAGACAGCAGAAAUUACAACCAAAGCUUGUUCUCAUUCGGGGAUUGGCAUGGCCCAUGUAAGUUUUGUGCAAUGAGUCACUGGAAAACUGGGACCCCGAAUGACUGGCCCUCCUGCUUUAACUGCGGGCAUUCCUCAGGGGAUUCUAAUUUUGCACAAAGUAACCCUGACCCUGGCCUGGUUCACCUCUCGUUUCAACUACGGCUGUAAAGCUGAGUUCAAAUCAAGACGGGGCUUUUCGCAGUUUGCCUGCUCAGCGGAGCAGUUGCUCAUCACUUGCCUCCUAUAAUGAUAGCAGGCAACAGAUAACAGCUGUCUCAGGAGUGGCCCGCGGUCUGACCCGGCUUCGAUCUGCUUCAGCAGCUCCGAGUCUGUCCCAGAGUCAGCAGCAAACUGGGUUACCAGUAUCCAGAGACCAUUUAUAGUUUAUAAAACAAAAGAGAGAGAAAACAGCAACCAUUCAGAGAUGAAGGGAAGCUGAAACAUCUCUGACCAGAAUCCUUGCUCUAUGGAGACAGGGUGGAGUAGAUGCUGUUAGGAAAUGGAGCUUGGCUCCUGCACCUGCACGCACAUAAUGAAGAGCUGGUUCCUUGGAAACCCACCACAAGCAAAAAGGUCACUUCAGUUUCCUCUGAACAGAUGAAUAUGUGUGCUACAAAUCAAGGCUUGUUUUGUGUGUCCAGUUCCACGUCUUAUAUCCAGUACUCUCCUUUUUUAUAUCUUUAUAUCAGAUUCAAGUGAUUUCAGAUUAUUUUAUCAUAACACUCCCAAAAACAGAAAUCUAUAAGACAUGAUAUGAUUAUUACUGAAGUAUACCAGUAACCCAGUAAUGCUUUGUGAGUUUGGCCAAAGGAAUACAUUUUUCACUGGUUUGACCAAUAGCUUAAUCUUAGGCGGGCCAGCACUCCCACACACCACAUGGUAGCUUCAGUUCAUACAUGAGACAUUUUGAUCAUUGCCUGAAUUUGCUCUUUGAUGGCCAUUGAAAUGAAGGGUGCAGUAGGUAAUGGGUCUCUAACCUGCUGAGGAGCUAGCUUUGACCAAUCAUUGUGCAUGUGUGAGGGACCAAAGCUGCUCUAAGCAAUGCUGGGCAACGUCACUUCUGUUGACUUUCAAACAAAACAGACAGCUAGCUCCCUACUUCCUCCCCCUCCCUCCCGUGCUGCU